AGAGUGGAUUGCAGCCAGGGAUGACUUGCCGAGAAUCUCUUUGUUUUAAUUGCCUGUGGUUUACCUGGGGAUUUGUAUCGGCAAGUUGUCCCUGGCUACAUUUCGCUCUCU
rfam:Nicotiana sylvestris Nsyl_contig81274, whole genome shotgun sequence.